rnacentral:rRNA from 1 species
GGAAUAUUGGUCAAUGGCCGGAAGGCUGAACCAGCCAUGCCGCGUGCGGGAGGACGGCCCUAUGGGUUGUAAACCGCUUUUGUGUGGGAGCAAUAAGAGUCACGUGUGGCUUGAUGAGAGUACCAUACGAAUAAGCAUCGGCUAACUCCGUGCCAGCAGCCGCGGUAAUACGGAGGAUGCAAGCGUUAUCCGGAUUUAUUGGGUUUAAAGGGUGCGUAGGCGGCUUGGUAAGCGGGAGGUGAAAUGCCGGCGCUCAACGUCGGAAGUGCCUCCCGAACUGUCGGGCUUGAAUGGUUGUGCCGUGGGAGGAAUGAGUGGUGUAGCGGUGAAAUGCUUAGAGAUCACUCAGAACACCGAUUGCGAAGGCAUCUCACGAACGACUGAUUGACGCUGAGGCACGAAAGCGUGGGGAUCAAACA